GAGGGUGGAGCUCAGCGGUAGAGCACGUGCCUAGCAUGCACGAGGUCCUGGGUUUGAUCCCCAGUUCCUCCA
rnacentral:tRNA from 1 species